UAUGCUCUGACAUGCUUUCUAGAUCAUUGUAGGAAGCUGCUAAUAGAGGACCACUGAGUUUACAAUCCUAGUACGCAAGGGCCCUCCUUGCAUUGAUAUUUUCUGAUGACUUGUUUUUGGUCACAAAAGUCAAUAAAAGGAAUGUUCAAGAAUUAAAAAGGAUGAUGCUGCCUACUAUUUGCAAUCACGAUAGCAUGUGAAUCUGUCCAUAAAUCCCAAGUGCAUUUCAUCCAUCAUACAGAUCCUAAUUUAAAAAGCC
rnacentral:lncRNA from 1 species